rnacentral:rRNA from 1 species
GAUGAACGCUGGCGGCGUGCCUAAUACAUGCAGGUCGAGCGAACGGACGAGAAGCUUGCUUCUCUGAUGUUAGCGGCGGACGGGUGAGUAACACGUGGAUAACCUACCUAUAAGACUGGGAUAACUUCGGGAAACCGUAGCUAAUACCGGAUAAUAUUUUGAACCGCAUGGUUCAAAAGUGAAAGACGGUCUUGCUGUCACUUAUAGAUGGAUCCGCGCUGCAUUAGCUAGUUGGUAAGGUAACGGCUUACCAAGGCAACGAUGCAUAGCCGACCUGAGAGGCUGAUCGGCCACACUGGAACUGAGACACGGUCCAGACUCCUACGGGAGGCAGCAGUAGGGAAUCUUCCGCAAUGGGCGAAAGCCUGACGGAGCAACGCCGCGUGAGUGAUGAAGGUCUUCGGAUCGUAAAACUCUGUUAUUAGGGAAGAACAUAUGUGUAAGUAACUGUGCACAUCUUGACGGUACCUAAUCAGAAAGCCACGGCUAACUACGUG